ACGUAGGGGGCAAGCGUUGUCCGGAAUUAUUGGGCGUAAAGGGUGCGUAGGCGGUUUGACAAGUCAGAUGUGAAAUAUCCGGGCUUAACCUGGAGGGUGCAUUUGAAACUGUCAGACUUGAGUGCAGGAGAGGAAAGUGGAAUUCCUAGUGUAGCGGUGAAAUGCGUAGAUAUUAGGAGGAACACCAGUGGCGAAGGCGACUUUCUGGACUGUAACUGACGCUGAGGCACGAAAGCGUGGGGAGCAAACAG
rnacentral:rRNA from 1 species